GGAGGGGCUGGCUGGCGGGCCGCGCCGCGCCGCGCGGAGGGGCGUGAGGUUCGGCUGGGGAGGUGGGGCCAGCUCCAGAGCGCGGGAGAUUUCGGCGCCGCGGGCUGGCCGGCUUCCUCGGCUGCCGCCCGCCACCCUUUCCCUGCGGCCCGCGGAGCUUCCCCCAACUCCAGCCCCGCAGUCUCUAGGACCGUAAACCCCCACCCCCCAGGGAGGAGCUCCUUUGAAACCCACUUCCCACUCAAUUCCACCCCCGGGUUUACAGACUUCUCUAUCUGUCAGACCCUCCGACCUCCCCCAGGGCUGUGACUCAGGCCACCCCUUGCUCCAGCCGCGCUCACCAGUGACUCACACCUUCGGCUUGUCCGGGAGAGGUGUUACUCAGCCCUGGGCUCUCCCGCCAGGCCUCCCUCCCCUGUCCUCCUCUGCCCUCCCCAGCCCAGGGUCGUCCUGAGUUGUACACGUAGCACACAGGCCUCCAUCCCCUCCCUACCCAGGAUCCCAGACUUUUCCCUUGAAUUCCUUGUUUUGGGGUCCUGUUCUUUCAACGAUUGGGAGAAGCUAAGACAGAUCACCCCUCCCUAACGGAAUCCUGGUUUGUAGGGCUCAUCCAAAUGCUUAAAUGAUUCCUGCCGGUACUGCGGGACCCAGAGACCUGAUUUCAAUUGCAUAGACAAUACACCCAAUCUUUCUUCGCUACUGGAGCUGCCAAAUGGGAGAGGGCAGUGUUCAAAUCAAAGGGCACUUCUGUUGAGCCCCUACUGUGUCCAAUGGUUUGGGCUAAGGGUGACAGUGGAGAAAAUAAUUCAUCAUCUUUGCUUCAAAAGGACACUGGUAGGGAGGAGAUUCCACGUUGGGUGAGAUGGACCACACUUCUGGCAGCCCGAAGGGAAUUUAAUUUCCUGUUGACUAUCGGAAGUUGUGUUCUCUGGAAGUCUACUUAAAACAUUUGCUUUAAAGGGAAUGAUUUUAAACCUUGGCUGUAUAUUAGAAUCCCAGCCACUGCGUCCCGAAUCUCUGCGCUGAGGCCCCGGGAUCGCUAUGCAAUUGUGAUUGCCAGCUAAGAUCUUUUAAAGGAUCCUGAUUCGUGGAGAAAAAAACUCCCUUAGAAAGUUUUAGCUGUGAUAGUGAUAAGAGUUCUCUACAAGAGGUCUGCAGACCUAUCUUUGAAGAAUUGAUGCUCCUUAGAUGUGACAAUUUGUUGUUCUUAUGACACAUUAUUUCUUUAAAGAUAGAACAUCACGUACAUUAAUUUGGGACAGGUUUUUGUUUUUGUUUUUGCUUGUUUUGUAUGUAUGUAUGUCAGCAGUGGUCAUGUCUGGAUUCUGGGAGGCUUUUUCCUCACCCAAGGUUAUUAAGAUUUGGGGAAUUACUUAUCCAGCCUAUUUUAUGACUAUGUUACCAGUGAAAUAAGAUGAAUUGCCUGGAGGCUUGCUUAGGGUAAGAGCCAGCAGAAAAGAUGAGACCUGUUGAGGAAAGUUGUCUGCUGAAAAGAAAAUGCUAAGCUGUUUCCAUUUCUCCAGCUGCCUUUUAUCAAGAUUUUUAAGCCCCUGUCUGAAGCAGUCUGUUACAGUCAGAGCAUGCAGGCCAGGGGCAAGUGAAACCUUGUAUUCCCAAAGGGCACUAAACACACUAGUCAGCAAACUGUGGAAUUGAACACAGGCAGGGGAAAUUUGGAUUCGGUUAGUUUCUUUUGCCCUCUCUCUCUCUCAUAGUUUUAUAUAUGAAAUUCACUGAAUGUCAGCUGGUGGUUGGAUACAUUUGAAGGACGUAUAGAGUUUGGAGGCUUAGGAGCAGAGGCUCCAAGAGCCAGCCAGAAUGAGACUUCAAAUUAUGACUUCACAACUUACAUGCUGUGAUCUCGCCCAAGUUAUUUAACCUUUCUCAGCCCCAGUUUCCUCUUCUGUGAAAUGGAAAUAACAGUAGUACCUUCCACCAUGCAUCAAAAUACCUGGCAUAGUGCUGGCACAGAGUAAAUGCUUAAUAAAGUUAGCUGUACUUAUUGAUGCAGA